AUGAAGACAACUUUGUUAAUAUUCUUGUGGCUGCAGCUAGACUGUGUGGGCAGAGGAGAGAAGGUGGAGCAGAGUCCUUCUCUCCUGAGAGUCCAGGAGGGAGAGAGCACUUUUUCCAACUGCACUUAUACCGACAGUGCUUCUGUCAGUACAUCCUUCUUUUGGUAUAAACAAGAACCUGGAAAAGGUCCUCAGUUGCUCAUACAUAUUGUUUCAACUAUGGACAAGAAAGAAGACAAAAGACUCACUGUCCUAUUGAAUAAGAAGGACAAACAUUUCUCACUGCAAAUCGCAGACUCUCUUCCUGGGGACUCAGCCACCUACUUCUGUGCAACGAGUGCACAGUGCUCCCCAGGCACCUGCACCCUGUACCCUAACCAGGGCCUGGGCUGA